ensembl:lncRNA
ACCUGUUCAAGCCCCGCCCCUUCAGCCACGAUCAACACGAUCACGUUGCCAAACGCCACGGAGAACUCCAGGCCCGUGAUGGAGAACAUGACCUCCCCCAUGGUGAGGAGGACGUACUGGGGGAUCUGCCAGGCGAUGUGCACGUCGUUGGCCUCUACGUCCUCCAUCUUGUGAGCCACGACCUUCCCCGCGUCCUGAGGAGACACGGAGGGUUCAGUCGGGGUCAGAGGUCAGGGGGUAAAACGUGGACCAGCCUCCCGACCUCGGUGAGGACGACAGUGUACGACGCUCCAAAGUCCAGCAGGCCCAGGUCCACGUGCGAGCAGAAGCCCGCAGCCGAGCAGCAGCUCACAUCUGGAUACCUACGGAGACAGGAAGUGAAGAUCUCAC